rnacentral:rRNA from 1 species
ACCCUGAUCAGCCAUGCCGCGUGAGUGAAGAAGGCCUUCGGGUUGUAAAGCUCUUUCAGAUGCGAAGAUGAUGACGGUAACAUCAGAAGAAGCCCCGGCUAAUUUCGUGCCAGCAGCCGCGGUAAUACGAAAGGGGCUAGCGUUGUUCGGAUUUACUGGGCGUAAAGGGCACGCAGGCGGUCUUGCCAGUCAGGGGUGAAAGCCCGAGGCUCAACCUCGGAACUGCCUCUGAUACUGUAAGACUUGAGACUAGGAGAGGGUGGUGGAAUUCCCAGUGUAGAGGUGAAAUUCGUAGAUAUUGGGAGGAACACCAGAGGCGAAGGCGGCCACCUGGACUAGAUCUGACGCUCAGGUGCGAAAGCGUGGGGAGCAAACAGGAUUAGAUACCCUGGUAGUCCACGCCGUAAACGAUGAGUGCUAGUUGUCGGGACUUCGGUUUCGGUGACGCAGCUAACGCAUUAAGCACUCCGCCUGGGGAGUACGGUCGCAAGAUUAAAACUCA